AUCUGUGAAUGAACUAAUGACACCUACUUACAGCCAGUAUUGUGAAGAUUAAUUAAUUGACAUUAUUGAAGUAUCCUGAGGUGGAAGUCCUAAUGUAACACUUGUUUAGCAGAGAGGCAUGCAGAAAAGUCCUGCAUGGUGUUUUAUCCAGCCUCUCUCCUACCUUUUGCCUCACCGGUCACAAUCAUGUACAGACAAGCUGCAGCAGAUGAAUUGUGCAGAGAGAUGGUGAGGAUUUGCCCUGAUGCAUUGAAACACUCAGAGUAUGAGAAGUCAUGCCAAGCUAUCUGAGCCAGCACGUGCCUUCUUUCUGACCUCAGAGGAUCUAGGCUUUUUCUGCCAUGUACACUUGCUGACUGACAGCAAGGAAAGGUUUUGUUGCCUGUGCGCUCACACACGUGAGGCUUCACAGAGCAGGUGUGUUUGUUCUGUGUGGCUGAUAAUUUGGGAAUAUGUGUUGUCUCCGUCAGAAACACGCUUUUCCUGCUGUGAGGGCUAUUCAGGUUAUCUGUGUAUAAUACCAUGAGCUGGAAGAGAAAGGGAAUUUGCGCCCUUUGAAGAAACUCCUCCAGAUUCUCUUCAGUCUCUCUUCAGUGUGAUACACUACUAUUUACAUUCUUUAUUAUCUCUUUUCCCCAGCUCUUGCUCCAAUCUUUCAGGCAGUUAAGAGUCUGGCUUUGGGCUUGCUGGGGGAUGCAGAUUUUCAUUUCAACAUGUUACUGGAUUUUUUAGUUCUGGAGCAGAAACCAACCUGUCUCACAGCAGCUCCUUUUUGCAUUAGACCCUGUCAGGUCUCUCCUGCACUGAUGCACUGAUUAAAAGCUUAGUUAUUUAUUCAUUUCCUCUUCACUAUCUUUAGGUAUAUGCCUGGACUUAGGAAUGAUCAGUCAUGUUUUUUUCAUCUUGCCUCGCUCUUUUUGUUCUCCUGUAUCAGGAUGGGAAACCAUGGUGUAGGUGCUGGAUUCACCCCUGGAAACCAGUGUUUUUGACCCAUUUAUCUGUACAAAUUAUCUUUCUGGAUUAUCUUUUCUGAUUUUCUGGUUAAAACAGGCUAAGAUUGAAGACUCCAUGCCCUUCUUUUUUUCCUUACUGACUCACAAAAAUAUAGCAGAACUUUUCCAUUUGCAGGCCUGACAAGCAGCUACCUGACUGUGUGGAACACUUGCAGGCACAAAGUGAGAAGCGGAGGUUGGGGAAGAGAACUGAGUGAAACAAAACUUUUGAAUCCAGAUGUUCCAGUCACACAGGGAGAUGUGUUUUGUUUCUGAGAAAUGAGCAUUUGCAAUCACUGAGAUAAUCUGCUGGUACCUAUCUAGGCAGGUGCUGCUAAACCUCCUAAAUUCAAAUAGUUUAAUUUUGAAGGAAAACCUACUGGUACAAACCAGUCUGAAGACACCUUUCUGCAUGCAAAUGGGAAAGGGGGGGCCUUAUUUAGAAGCACAAAUGUAACAGGCAGAGCAAAAUGGGGGAAAGUGAAGAUAUACUGGAAAAGCAACACAGAGGGAAGAGCCAAGUGUCAAGUAAAGAGCCUUUUUUGGAGAAUUUGCAGUGUUAUGGCUGCACUGAGGACCACUAGCACUGCUCUCUAAAAGCUACGUGGUUAUUGGAAAUGAAGGGGAAAAUCCCUGUCAGAUCAAUUGGUGCUUUAGAUGGCACUUUCCAUGUUGUAAAUUUAAUUUGCUUUCUUUUUUUUUUUUUUUAGCAUAAAAUUUGAUUAAACUCCAGGCAAUUCCUUAGAAUUUGAAGAGAACAUAUGCAACACAGCACUGGGACAUGGUAUGUUUUCACAGGUGUUGUGAUCAUUAAUGAGGGGCUGCUCAUGAUGCAGGUUAUCACCUGGUGAUAUAAAUAUGAUCUGAAUCAAGACGCACGGCGCAAUCACACUUCUGUCAAAUUAGCCAGGAUGAAUGAUGCAAAGUUGAUGCAGCUUUAUGUUUUCAGAUUAGCUUUAUGCCUGCUGUGGGAGGACAGCUGACAGUGAGCCAGGCAAGGUUAGCAGCUGAUCUGGUGUAAAGUCUUCAGUGCAGAGUCACCCCAUUAAAAAUGUUAAAAGAAGUAUGCAAAGUGAAUUUGAUUGACCCAGUGCUUUCCAUCUAGUGGUCACAACAUUGUGUAAUGCCAUAAAAGCAGAUUUAGCUUCUCUUUAGGUCACCAGCAGAGCUCCCUGAGGUUCAGUUUUCCUGGACCUAAUCAGGGGCUUGGGCAACCCCAGUCUGAGCUCAGCAUGUUGAGGGGCAGCCUGGCAGGUGCAGUGUGGGAUGAGGACUGGUUGUGGCUAUGUGUGGAGAGCCCCAGAUUGCACUUGUACAUGAAUUGUGGAGAAGCAGUUGGUUUGGGGUUGAUGUUUUUUCUAGGUAAGUGUAUGCAAGUUAUAAUUCUGAAAAGAUACCUGUUUCCAGUACAAGCUAGACAAGAAUGAGAUCCCCUGAAAUGGCAGGAUUUUUGUUAAAGAUAGUUGCAUUCCCUGGAGCCAGCUGUUAAAAUCUCUGCUGAUUUCCAAAUGGGCAUUAAAGGCUUUCUCCACCCAGCUCUGUCUCACCUCUGUGCCUCCUCCCUGCAUCCUCUGGCUCCAAAAGAAGCCCAGAGCUGAGGGAAUGGAUAUCCCAUGUGUGAUCACUGAGCCCAGCACGUUACUGUUCAUUCUCUCAAAAAUGAAAAGUCAUUAAAAGUAAAGAUGAUGGAUAAGUGGUGUUUAAUCAAGAACUGUCUUUAAGUGGGUUCAAUUGUGAAGUAGCAAAGGGUUAGAGAGGCUAAUUUCCUUAUAAUAAAUGGGUCCACUUAAAUUUGGUCAUCAGAAAAGGGUAAUCCAUGUUAUGUGGAAUAAGGAAACAUCACUGCUAAAGAAGCAGAGCAUUGAUUUCCAGUGGUUUUCCCCAAUUUUAAUAUUUGUGUAAGGAGGGCUAGGUCUCCUUUCUACAUGAAAGACAAUUUGGAACAAAUAGAGAAGUUAGAAAUACUGGUGCAGUUUUGUAACCCCCUUGAGUGUGGCCUUGAUGCCACAUUUCUGUGUGGUUUCUCCCCUCAGUGCUCGGUCAGUCAGGAUCUGUGAUCACCCACUGCUGCACAGCAGGCUGGUGGAGGCCACGGGGAAAGAGGCUGCUCUGGAAUUGCACCUGAGGUACUUUUCAUGUUGUUUAUGCUUAUUACUGAUAGGAGUAAGUGAAGAGGCUUCUGUUGCUGCAGCUUUGGUCAAAUGGUUCCAUAUGUGACUGCAUUAAAAGUUAUUUAACAUGAGGUUUGGGGCUUCCCCCCCCCCAAAAAAAAAAAAAAAGCAGUGGCUGCAAGAGAAAUUUCUCAUUAACAGUUUCUCCAAGGAAGGUGUGUGUUUGUCACAUGGCUACUCUUGUUCAAAUCUAUAAAGAAAAGGGGAAAUUGCGGCCAAGGAGGCUCCUGCUUGGAGGUAUCAGUCUUUUGGUUAGCUGAGGGCUGGAGAGGACUCUUGGUGACUACCUUCUCUUUCAUCUUCUUCAUGUCACAAGAAACAACUGCUGGGCAAGGCAUUGAUAGAGGACAUCUCAGCCAUGUGUUUUCUCAGUACAGGGUGGUGUUGACUUCCAAGUUGUCUUUUUCACCCAGAACAAUACAGUAACCAUUGGUGACAAUAACUGAGCUGUAUAUAGAAGCCAGCUCCUUCCACCUGUCUGCUGAGGAGUGUCUUGCUCCAGUGGAGCUGUUCUGACUGUCCUGGGAGUCUACAUGACAUCAGUGAAGUUUUCAGCCAUACUGGAUGAAAAUAAUUCUGUGAGAGCAUAUUAGGCUUGCCUAUUAAUCUAGAGAUGAGCUUUUGAACUGAUGUUUAAACCUCAUUUUCUGCCCUCUUUGAAAUGGAAGGAAGUCACCCAAGUAAGAGAUUGGAAUUGAUUCAGUUGUGUUUUCAUUUUCUUUGUGAUAAAUGUAACUUUCCCUUUCCCUCUCUGGAGAAUGCAUACCCCUCCUCCCACUGGAGUGGAUCAGCACUGGCAUCUGUGCAAACCUUCUUGCUCGGGUUUCCCUACUGGGAGUUUUCCACCCUUGCUGCCCACACUGGCUCUCUAGAAACCACCUUUCCUUCAAAAUCCCUCAAUUAACUGUGAAUGGUGCCAGGAAAGAGCCUGACCCCAUUAUACUUUUUCUGUGCCAAACCUGGUUGCUGGCAGAGGAACUCUCCAGAUGGUUCAGCUUUUGCCACUUUUCCUGUUCUUCCCAGAUAAGCUGACUGACCCGGGAGUCCACUUGGCCAUGGAACAAUUUAAGCUGUAUGUAGUCACAUGAGAAAAAUAAAAGUGAAAAGCCAGUAAAAGUGUGAUUUCUGGGCCAGGCAUUAACUGGGCUGUGGCAGAGCUGUUUUCUGGUCCCAGAUCUGCUACAACCAUCAUCUGUAAUUUUAGGCAGGUCCGUUAAAGCCUCCGUGUCUGCCUUUCUGGUUUGGUCAAAUGGAGGGAGCAGUGCUCCUUCUCGGUCUGAUGGCUGUGCUUUCUGUCAUCCAUCCUUUGAGGCAGGGCUUCUCUUUGUUUAGGGGUUACCCAGCAUGACGGUGAGCUGAUCUUGCUUGAGGUCUGUGCAAUCUCCAGUAAUAGUAACACAGACAAUCAGUUAACUGACUCAGAAACAAGUAUUCAAACAAUAUGCCUGUGAGCUUUCUCUCUUCAUUGGAUUUUAUUAUGAUGUGUUCUUGUUUGAUUUACUUUAUACCUUUAGGAAUGUUUAUUUAGUUUAUUUAUGACAUUAUGGUAUUCUUAGAAAACCAGGACACGGUUCUGAGUGGUCAGAAGGAUAAUUCCUUUAUUCUUGUUGCUUCUCAUGUAAUAAUCAUAGCCUUUACAAAUACCUACUUCAGGCACUGAAUGUAUUAAAAUUCUUGCACAGUUUUUCCUCUCUCAGAUAUGAUGAAAUACCUACCCCUGGCUGGCUGGAUUUGGACCCUCUGCUUGGGCUGUGACAGCCACAUUACUCCUCACUCAAUGCCACUGUGACUGCCAGACUUCCACCACGAAUAAGAGAACCUGGUUAACAGCAAUAGUAUGCACUUUAUUUUUCCCUUUCAGAGGUUAUAUCUGGUGACUGUGUGACUGGAACAAUGAGACUAACCUCAGUUUUACAGUAACAAAGCAGCUAUGAGCUUUCUGGGUAAAGUAUAUCUUGACUGACAUACAAGUAGCUGUAGCUUUGCUGCACAAUGGAGAAAAUGACUUCAUUUAACAGCUUUCUGUGCCAAGAAAGAAAUAAAACAGUUCUGAGAAUGUUGAA